UUUGGCCUUCUUCUCGCUUAACUUCGGAGUUCCUACGGAACUCGAAACCAGUGAGCUUUCAAAAGGCCUCGUGCUAGGUAGGGAUGAGAAUAUACAUUUAAGGAUCACUCCCCUGGGCGAUGUGGGAUGUCAUAUUCAGUCUCAACCGUUUCUAUGUAGAAAAACAAAUUUUAAUUUUACAAUCAAUUAAGAAAAACUCCAUACACUUUUAAACCUGACUUGGGGUUAGUUUUGAAAAUUCAGUACUGUGAGAAAUAGAAACACUUGAUUUGUUUUGUUUGUUCACAGAUUUGGGACUUCUGACUUUACAUGUGUAUGUCUCCCAACGCUGGGGAAUAUUUUUUUAUUUUAACCUUAUGAUAUUUUACUUUUCCUCCCCUUUGGAGCCCCUUCUCUGCAUGAACAUGAAAAGGAGAUUAGAGACGUUAUUAAAACGAAAAAGCACUUGUUUAGCUAGACAUGCUCGGUAGGGGUGGGUUCAGUUCAAUUUUUUUCGGUUCGAUUUUUUUCUGGUUUGGUUUUGGGUUUUUUUAAAAAAAUGAAAAAAAUUUGAAAUCUUAAAUUUUAACAUAUCUAACACAAUCAUAACAUAAAUAUUCCGACUAGACUUAAAGAUAAUAAAAAUAAACAUUUAAAGUUCAACUAGAAUUAUAACAUAAAGGUUUUUUUUUUAAAUAUUUUGGGUUUAAAGUUUAAUUGUAAAUAGAUUUCUUUUUAGACGAUGAUGAUGGAGUACGACCUUAUUCAUUCCUCUCUUUCUCUCAAUCUCUCUCUUUCUCUCUCUCUCUCUCUCUCUAUAUAUAUAUACAUGUAUUCUUCACUAGCAAUAAGAUAAACAUUCUAUAAUAUACUAUUUAUUUUGAUUAUUGUCUAGGUAACAAUUUUUGAUAUUUUCUUUAUCUUUAUGGUCCGAAUUUUUUUAUCCAUAUAUGUGGUUACAUAAUAUAAUUUCUACAUUUUGUGUUCAGCUUCUACCACCAGCAAAUUUUGAAGAGGUGUUCAUCAAUAUUUUUGAAUAUAUUGAUAUACUUUUCAAAAUUGUUAGGCCACGGAAGCUACUAUACUUGG
rnacentral:lncRNA from 1 species